AAUGGUGAAGGAACAACAAUAUAUUUCCAAGUCAGGGUGGUGAGCGGCUUGGAGGGGCAACUUGGAAGGUGGUGGUGUUCCCUAUACUGUAUGUCGCUGUUAAGUGAAUCAGGUCUCACUGUGGUCCAGGAGUGUGGUGAUGACAAUUGUCUACAUACAAGAACUUUUGUUGAUUUACGGAGGGCUUUGUUGUCAAAUACUCGAAGGGGCUGCGGAGGUCUGUAAAAUUCUGCCUGGACUGCUGACUUUCCAGGGUCUGCAGUAUUGCGCAUUCUGCAUAAAAUGUGCUCAGUUCAUGGGUGAACGUACAAGUUGAAUGCCAGUAAGCUGCUGGCUCCAAUGGGAGCAGGAAUCUUGGAAAUCUCAGCCGGCCAUAAAGCCAUUACCACACUGGCUAUAUAGGCACUACUUCUGAGAAUUCAGAAACCAUAAGAUGGGUAAUCCACCAAGCAAAUGUGCUGAAGAAACUGGCUGCAUUGAAUCAGUUACAGGAGCCUGGUUAAUCAUUACCUGGAAUACUCUGGUUUUAGUCAUCUUACCUUGGGAAAUAUUGUCAUCAAGGGGAUGCCACCAAGGUUCACCAGACUUUCACCUAGGAUGGUGCUACUGCCCUGUGAAGAGUUUGGGCAGACCAGACCUGUAUCCACUAAGUUUAAGAAUGAGGUGAUGUCAUUGAAGCCUACAAAACAGCUAAAAGGAUAGAUGCAGGUUAGAAACAAGAUGUUUCCCUGGUUGGAGAGCUCAGGUUCAGGGAGUACAUCAAUCUUCAAGUGCUGAAGAAUCUACACUAUUGAUCUAUUAUGAACAAAUGAAUAGUUAGUGCUAGGGUCUACUGAACUUUAAAGAAGUCUUGGGUAAAGAUCCCUUGAAGGUUGUAAUCUUUUACUCCUAGUGAGCAUGAAUAUGCUGGUGGAUGAAUAUGCUGCUUGGUGCAAGAGAAAUGGUUUUAAUGAUCACAUUGUUGGGAUCCCUUCUAGGGAAAUGGGACAACUUGUUCAAGUGCAGACCAUCUUAGAAUUUGUAAAUAUGUCCCUGUGGGAGGGUUAAUUAAUGCUGCAGAAGGUAAAGUAGUCUAGGGCAGGAGACAGUUAAUUCAUUGGUGACACAGCAUAACUUGGGAAAAGGAGCCAAGGCACAGUUCUGCCUUGUCUCGAGAGUAAGGCAAGGAUGAUGACCUCUAAUGGUAGGAAUGUUAGAGGGGGAAAACCUGAGUUGGAGAUGUGGUUUAAACAUUCUCCUGGUGUCUGCUAGUUUCCGUGGAUGCUCCAGUUUCCUUCCACAGACCAAAGAUGUACAGUUAGGUGGAUUGGUUGCUAAUUUUUUCAUGCUGCCCCGGUGGAUUAGUUGUGGAAAAUGCAGGACUACAGGGAGUUAAGUUAGGGUGUGGGUGGGAUACUCCAAAAGAUUGUGGACUUGAUGGGUUGAAUGGCCUGCUUUCUCACUAGAUAUUCCCAUUCUAAUCCCUGAACAUCCUGAUGGGGGAUGGAUAUGUCCAUGGCAGAGGUAGCGGUUGGAGCCUGCAAACAGGAAAUCCUUAAACCCCAUGUAAACAGGAGAAGACAGAAGGGACUGCUGAAGGGAGGCAGAGAAGAGCUGAGGCAGGAGUGGUCUGACCCGGUUUGAGGGAUUGUGCACAGGCAGAUCACCAGAUGAAAUGAGACUAGUCACCAUAAUGGACACACUGGCCUAAUGUUUCAUGGUCUGGGAGAAACGGGUAUCUGAGAGGUGGCACACAGCCUCUAUGAUGUAGAGGUCAGUAUGAUAGACAACAGCACCAUGCUUUGUCAACAGGCCUGACUACAAAGUUGGAUCUAAGCAUGGAGUGCAGCGCAUUCUGAAAGGGGCUAGAAUAGGUGAGGUGACCACAAGUAUGAAAAGGCAUGGGCAAGGUGGUUGAAAAGUAGCUGUUCCCUUCAAUUGUCAAUAACAAGGGGUACCUUUUAGAAGUGAAAGGGGAUUUGAGGAAAAUGUGUUGCUCCCAGACCAUGGUGGGAAUAUGGAAUGCACUGAGUUGAGAUGGGUAACAGCAAACAUUUUAAUUGUUUGGAUGAGCACUUUGUUUCCAUUCAACGCUAUGAGCCUGAUGUGGGGCUAGUGUAGGUGCAAGUGAAUGUAUAUAGAUUUGAUGGGCUGAGCUGUUGCUUGUGCUGUGAUUCUGUGGUAUGGAACAAAAAGGUAAAUUGUGUGAAUACAGAAUGACUGAUCUAACAGUCACCAGGAUUGAGAAACUCAAUGCCUGCCUUUUGUAAAUGUGGUUUACCUCUACCUCUACUCCCUUGAUGCACUGUUUCUUCAAUGAAGUUGUUUCCCAUGCUUUUUGUCACCACUUCUCAGAUACCCUCCUUACUGACCUCAAUAUUUCACCUUCCAGUUUGGAUAAACUGGAUACCUUUGUCUUGUCCCACUUCCUCAUGGCAUAUUUGCUGCUUGGCUAGGUGUUCUCAGUAUUUAUUCUUUGCAGUUUCUUGGUUUCCCUCUUUGAUUCAUUUCACAUUUCAAGGCUUAUUGUAACAAUGGUACAACUGGAGCAGUAUUCAGGGCCACAAUCAAUGCUCCUGGCUUUUGCAUUCAAAUGAAUUAAGCUUAAAUGCUUGACAGGUAUUUGGUGAAGAAACAGGUUGUGAUGCACUAAAAUAAAAUGUUUUCAUGCUUGGGUUUAAUGUGUAUAUAUAAAAUGUAGUGUACUGAUAACAUGAGAAUAAAGUAUUUGAAAGUGAA